AACAUGCUCUGCAGAGAAAUCAAAGAUGGCGGGUGUAUCCGCUGUUCGCUGGUUGGGGCUCCGCAGCAGGCUUGGCCAGCCGCUGACGGGUCGGCGGGCGGGUCUGUGUAAACAGGCACGCAGCUGCAGAUUUUAUUCUGGUAGUGCAACCCUCUCAAAGGUUGAAGGAACUGAUAUAACAGGGAUUGAAGAAGUAGUAAUUCCAAAAAAGAAAACUUGGGAUAAAGUAGCCGUUCUUCAGGCACUUGCGUCCACAGUAAACAGGGAUACCACAAGUGUGCCUUAUGUGUUUCAAGAUGAUCCUUACCUUAUACCAGCAUCCUCUUUGGAAUCUCGUUUAUUUUUACUGGCAAAGAAAUCCGGGGAGAAUGUGGCCAAGUUUAUUAUUAAUUCAUACCCCAAAUAUUUUCAGAAGGACAUAGCUGAACCUCAUAUACCGUGUUUAAUGCCUGAGUACUUUGAACCUCAGAUCAAAGACAUAAGUGAAGCCGCCCUGAAGGAACGAAUCGAGCUCAGAAAAGUCAAAGCCUCUGUGGACAUGUUUGAUCAGCUUUUGCAAGCAGAGGCGGGGUUUCACCAUGUCAGUCAGGAUGGUCUCGAUCUCCUGACCUCGUGUCCACCCACCUCGGCCUCCGAACCACUGUGUCUCUUGAAACAACAAAUAGUCUUUUGGAUUUAUUGUGUUACUUUGGUGACCAGGAGCCCUCAACUGAUUAUCAUUUUCAACAAACUGAACAGUCAGAAGCA
rnacentral:sRNA from 1 species